UGUAUAUAUGUAAGGUCUGGCCUGCCCACUGAUUAUUUGAAGGGCCGUGGUAUUUUAACCAUGCGAAGGUAGCAUAAUCAUUUGCCUUUUAAUUGAGGGCUGGAAUGAAGGGUCGUUCGAGGGAUUAACUGUCUCUAACCUUUAUUUGAAAUUAAUCUUUUAGUGAAAAAGCUAAACUAUACUUGAAGGACGAUAAGACCCUAUAGAUCUUUAUAGAAACAAAAUUAGAAAUUGGUUGUAAGUUCUUUUUACCCCUUCUAUUGAGUUGGGGCGACGCUAUAUGAAGAUAUAACAUUUAGUUUAUUUAAACACUUACAUGUGAUGACAAGAUCCUGGGAUGAGAAAAGGAGAUAGUUACCUUAGGGAUAACAGCGUAAUGGUUUUUGAAAGUUCAAAUUGACAAAACCGUUUACGACCUCGAUGUUGGUUCAGGGAUCCUAUUUAGCGCAGUAGCUUUAUAAGGAAGUCUGUUCGACUUUUAAAUCCCUACAUGAUCUGA
rnacentral:rRNA from 1 species